rnacentral:tRNA from 1 species
GACCCCAUCAUCUAGAGGCCUAGGAUACCAGGUUUUCAUCCUGGACACACGGGUUCGAAUCCCGUUGGGGUCG